rnacentral:lncRNA from 1 species
AUAAAUACCUCUGUGAUAAGGCCUGUGUAGGAAUAAAGAUAGCCGAUAAGGUAGGAGAAAGAAUGCCUGGGUUAAAAUAAGCACAUUCCAGCAUUAUCCACUGAAAAUCGCUGUAGGCAAAAUUAUUUAAAAUUUACACAGAACUAUCUGCCCACACCACAAGAAAGCCAUUAAAUUAGUGAACAAUACUCAGCAAAUACAUAACAGAAGUUGCUGACUGAGUACACUGGAGACAAACUAAAAUAACUACAGUCAACAUCCAAUAUUUUCUGUGACUACUUCAUCCACCUCGUGCAAACUCAAAUAAUGCUAUUUCUGCCAGCACGCGCUGCCGCAUCCCAACGACUAGAAUCCUGUAAAAAUAUAGCAUUUGCAGCUAUGCCGGUUAUUGAGGCAGAUCUAAUAAACGCAGUUUGGCACCUGUAAACGACGCGGAGUGGUCAUGUUAGAUUAACCCCAUCUCCUCAAGCGUUUUCCCGAGCUGUCUCGGGGGGCGGGUUAAGAAACACUCACUAAACGCGCCUCUCUCGGACCUGCCGCGGUGCUUAUCAGAACCGAACGCGUGUUUUGUCCCCGGGUUUCCUUCGCGGGGGCCGGGCACAGAGGCGGGGUGCGGCCGGUCCCUCGCCUGCCCGCAGGCCGGGGGACGCGGAGUCCCCGGCGCGGGCGCGGAGCGGCCCCGCCGCCGCCCGCAGGUCGCCAGGGGCGGGCCGAGGUGUGCGGGGCGGGCCGGGGCGGGCGGCACCGCCCGGGCACAGCCGAGCCCUCCAUCCCUCCGCCCCACCGAGCGCAGGGAGCCCCAGCGCAUCCUCAGCGGCCCCGCUCUGCUUCCACCGGCGCCUCUCUCCGUGCUCGCCCCCGGGCCUCGCUGGCACCCGCAUCCCUCGGGUUACGGCCCGCCGGGAAGAGGCUGGGCUUCCAGCUGUGAGCUUUAUCUUCUCGAAGGAGAAGGCCAGGAACAGGCGGCACAAAGGCUGAGGUGAUCCUCUCCCCUCCCACGCUCUGCAUCCGGAGGGGAAGGGCUGCGUGGGUUUUGCAAGCCCUGCCGAGUUCAAGGUGGCUCUGCAGCACAGCAAGGAGCUGUGCCGGAGCUGGGGAUCUUCAGAAGCUGCCUCGGGCCUUUGACACCAAACUGUGGGAACGGAGGGAAGCUCUAGCACUUUCUUUCCAGAAUAACAUCAGAAACUCUGAGAAGGGCUGGCCACGUAACGCUGCUGUUUGUGAAUCUCCAGCACACCUUACAACCCACCUUGGGAAAACCAGUUGCUAGCCCUGGGUCCCUGCAUGGAACAAUUGGCUGCAGCAUCUGCUGGGUGUAACCACGGCUGCCUUCUGCUCUCAGGCAAACACUGCUGAAAAGCCACACGAACGCAAGAAAAACCUGCCCUGGUGUGGUGUUGGAAGGUUUUCACUUCAGAAGGGGUCGGUGUGAAGUACAGCUGCCCUGCAAAGGGGAUUUCACCUGCCCUCGUCUGAAUUCAGUCCUCUGGACUCAGCUGAGGGUGUGACAGCUGCUGCUGGGAUCACCAGCUCCUGCUUUAAAUGACACUGGGUUAACUUAGAAGCAUCAACAUGGUUGGAUUAAGAAUUUUCCCCUCUGAAGUAUAGUGGGAUAAAAUUCCUGUUAUCUGUUUGGGAGAAAAAUAAUUUUGAGGGAGUUUAGUCAGACUAGGCCUUGUGCAUAAUUACUGCAUUAAAUCAAUAUUUUCUUUUUGAACUAUGACCAUGUGGUUUUGGUUUGAUUUUUUCUGUUUUUGAUUUUGUUUUUAAUAACUUAGUCAUUAUUUAAAAGCUUCAGACAUGGACUAUAAGAUUAUAUUUAGACACACACAUAUGCAUCUAUCACAGCAGAACAUCAUUACUCGAAAAUUCACCAAUACAUAUAGCUGAAUUGACUUAACACUCAUCUUUAACUAUUAUUACUGCUCCUCUCAGCAUUCCUACUGGAAAAUCAUUAGAGUUUAGUACACAUACUCUAGAAUUAUUAUCUUUUUCUUUUUAUCCUUUUGAAAAAUAAUACCAUUUGCAGUGAAAAAAAAUCAAUGCAAUAACUGAAAAGUGUUUACUUUCAGGUCAAAUCAGCACCAUGCUGCUGUAUUACAAAUUUGUGUUUGCUUAUGAAAGAUCUGGUCCUCGAUUAUUGAUUUGUAUGGUUCCCUUGUAUGACCAGGAUUGGUUUAUUAUGCUUAUUAUUGCUUUUUCCUUCAUUCAUGUUUUCUUUUGGAAAAAAAAUAUAAGUAAGAGAUACCCUUGUAUGCAGAAUUUUCAGAUUUGUUUGGGUUUAUUUAGUUGAAGUUUUAAACAACAUUAACUUGCUAUUUAAAGGACUGAAAUAUUUUCUUUAAUUUAUGUUAUAUACUUGGAUGUCUUUUCUCGUAAAAAAUAAUACAUUUAGCUGAACUGAUGUAAAAUGUCACAUAGAAAAUAGAAGUAAACAUGUUUUCAGAAGCAAAUAAACAAUUUUGAAUGACUCA